GUGCCAGCAGCCGCGGUAAUACGUAGGGUGCGAGCGUUAAUCGGAAUUACUGGGCGUAAAGCGGGCGCAGACGGUUACUUAAGCAGGAUGUGAAAUCCCCGGGCUCAACCUGGGAACUGCGUUCUGAACUGGGUGACUAGAGUGUGUCAGAGGGAGGUAGAAUUCCACGUGUAGCAGUGAAAUGCGUAGAGAUGUGGAGGAAUACCGAUGGCGAAGGCAGCCUCCUGGGAUAACACUGACGUUCAUGCCCGAAAGCGUGGGUAGCAAACAGGAUUAGAUACCCUUGUAGUCC
rnacentral:rRNA from 1 species